rnacentral:misc_RNA from 1 species
GUUGAUUCUUUCUUAAAACUAACUCAGAUUUUAGCUAAACAUAAACCUCUUUGAUAAGAGACUUUGGUGUUUAAUUUAUUGCUAAUCAAAUGUGUUGAAAGUUGUGCUUAAAGAUGAAAGAUGAGAGAAUGAAUGAUUAUUCUUUUCUGGAUUUUCUAUGCAAGAGUGCAUCAUCUACUUCUUGUAAUUCAGUCCUUCUAAUAGAUAAAUAGUAUUCAUACUAGGAAUCAUAGUGCUAGUACUCUUUUCUAUCAAUUAUCUUAGUUAUUGUAAUCCUACUGUUACAUUCACUGCUUAUAUCAGGGAUUUCUGCUAUAUUUGUUACUGUACAUCUAUUCUUCAAUUUCUGUGCUGAUU